rnacentral:lncRNA from 1 species
CAAUCUUUCUCAAAGAAUAUCAUACGGAUUCUUCUCUACUUUGAUCCGUUGUUAUGUGAUUUGUCGCAAUUGACGUAUGUUAGAGGAUUGUCAAGAGAAUUGACUCAGGUAUGUUAAGGCUAUCUCCUCUUUCUUUUGGCAUGAUCCAUACGAUAUAAACAAAACGAGCAAAUGCACAAUUUCCAUACAUGACUCUAUUCAUAGAAAUACUAAAGAUGCCUAUGUUCUUGAUUUCCCAUGUGUCAUAUUAUUCUAUCAUCUGUUCAUGCGUCUUAAAAUACGUAAGUUGAUAAAGUUUAUUUCAUGAUAUUAAUCGGAGGUAUAAUGGUCUUAUGACACUCCAAAAGAUUUUAUUGACGUACUUCUCAUGCAUUGCAUUCAUGUACAUUGACCCAUGACCAAAUGACAUUAUAUACACGUAUAUAUGUAUGUAGAUGGGAUGUGGAAAAAGGUUACGCCGUUAUAUACGCACCACCACCUUUCAGCUGGUAUACGUUGAUGAUUUUGACCACAGUGGCCGAGAUGAUAUGAUGGGAUGCCCCAGAGGCCUGAUGGUGUUGUGAAACAUGUACCUUUGCACGACAUAAGAUUCGUACGCAUAUGCAUUAUACUAUAAUUAUUUCAUGAUUUAUAGAGUUAUCCACACUUACAGGUGAUAAUAGGCUAAAUUGUUUAAUAUAGCCUACGUUUUAGCUCAACUUAAGGAUGGUUUACUAUUGUAAAUGUUCAAAUAAUGCAAAAAUUGGCUCUAAUCAUGACUUUAAUGUCUCGCAGGAGUUCAAUAAACAAAUAAGGAUUUAUGAUGGUAAUCAAGUGAAAAAUGGAGUCAAAUGACGAAAAGUUGAGCAGCAACAUCUUAACAAGAGAAAACCCCACUACCGCGGGUCAUGCGCUCCCACGCUAGUUCAGUGAUUUGGAUAGAAAGAAACUCGAUAUGCGCGGGAUGUGCGCUGGUCAUGCGCUCCCACGCUAGUCCUGUCCGGAAAAGCAAUUAUUG